rnacentral:rRNA from 1 species
UACGUAGGGUGCAAGCGUUGUCCGGAAUUAUUGGGCGUAAAGAGCUUGUAGGCGGUUUGUCGCGUCUGCUGUGAAAUUUCGGGGCUCAACCCCGAACUUGCAGUGGGUACGGGCAGACUAGAGUGUGGUAGGGGAGACUGGAAUUCCUGGUGUAGCGGUGAAAUGCGUAGAUAUCUGGAGGAACACCGGUGGCGAAGGCGGCAUCCUGGACCGGCAUUGACGCUGAGGCGCGAAAGCCAGGGGAGCAAACGGG